rnacentral:tRNA from 16 species
CGUGAGGGUUCAAGUCCCUCUAUCCCCA